rnacentral:rRNA from 1 species
UGGGGAAUAUUGCACAAUGGGCGAAAGCCUGAUGCAGCAACGCCGCGUGAGGGACGACGGCCUUCGGGUUGUAAACCUCUUUUAGCAAGGAAGAAGCGAAAGUGACGGUACUUGCAGAAAAAGCGCCGGCUAACUACGUGCCAGCAGCCGCGGUAAUACGUAGGGCGCAAGCGUUAUCCGGAAUUAUUGGGCGUAAAGAGCUCGUAGGCGGUUUGUCGCGUCUGCUGUGAAAACCCGAGGCUCAACCUCGGGCCUGCAGUGGGUACGGGCAGACUAGAGUGCGGUAGGGGAGAUUGGAACUCCUGGUAUAGCGGUGGAAUGCGCAGAUAUCAGGAAGAACACCGGUGGCGAAGGCAGAUCUCUGGGCCGUAACUGACGCUGAGGAGCGAAAAGGGUGGGGAGCAAACAGGCUUAGAUACCCUGGUAGUCCACCCCGUAAACGUUGGGAACUAGUUGUGGGGUCCAUUCCACGGAUUCCGUGACGCAGCUAACGCAUUAAGUUCCCCGCCUGGGGAGUACGGCCGCAAGGCU